ensembl:misc_RNA 7SK 7SK RNA
GGAUGUGAGAGCGAUCUGGCUGUGACUUCUAUCACCCUAUUGAUCGCCGGGGCUGAUCUGGCUAUCUGGCUGGCUAGGCGGGUAUCCCCUUCCUCCCUCACUACUCCACGUGUGUCCCUCCCGAAGAUGUGCGCUCCGUUGAAGAAGAUGACCAUUUCCCAUAGAUGAGAACCAGUCUUUGGUCAAGGGUAUAUGAAUAGGUGCACUCCCCUGCUAGAACCUCCAAACAAACUCUCAAGAACUAGGGAGAGGAGAGUGAAAAUUAACCUAGUUACAAUGAUUGUAUCCUUACAUUCUUUUAUAAAUUUCAAAAUACUUCU